UGGGGAAUAUUGGACAAUGGGCGAAAGCCUGAUCCAGCCAUGCCGCGUGUGUGAAGAAGGCCUUUUGGUUGUAAAGCACUUUAAGCGAGGAGGAGGCUACUUGGAUUAAUACUCUAGGAUAGUGGACGUUACUCGCAGAAUAAGCACCGGCUAACUCUGUGCCAGCAGCCGCGGUAAUACAGAGGGUGCGAGCGUUAAUCGGAUUUACUGGGCGUAAAGCGUGCGUAGGCGGCUUCUUAAGUCGGAUGUGAAAUCCCUGAGCUUAACUUAGGAAUUGCAUUUGAUACUGGGAAGCUAGAGUAUGGGAGAGGAUGGUAGAAUUCCAGGUGUAGCGGUGAAAUGCGUAGAGAUCUGGAGGAAUACCGAUGGCGAAGGCAGCCAUCUGGCCUAAUACUGACGCUGAGGUACGAAAGCAUGGGGAGCAAACAGG
rnacentral:rRNA from 1 species